GUACACUCCUGCGGGAGGCAGCAGUGGGGAAUAUUGGACAAUGGGCGCAAGCCUGAUCCAGCCAUGCCGCGUGAGUGAUGAAGGCCCUAGGGUUGUAAAGCUCUUUCACCGGUGAAGAUAAUGACGGUAACCGGAGAAGAAGCCCCGGCUAACUUCGUGCCAGCAGCCGCGGUAAUACGAAGGGGGCUAGCGUUGUUCGGAUUUACUGGGCGUAAAGCGCACGUAGGCGGACUAUCAAGUCAGGGGUGAAAUCCCGGGGCUCAACCCCGGAACUGCCUUUGAUACUGGUAGUCUUGAGUUCGAGAGAGGUGAGUGGAAUUCCGAGUGUAGAGGUGAAAUUCGUAGAUAUUCGGAGGAACACCAGUGGCGAAGGCGGCUCACUGGCUCGAUACUGACGCUGAGGUGCGAAAGCGUGGGGAGCAAACAGGAUUAGAUACCCUUGUAGUCCGAUG
rnacentral:rRNA from 1 species